GGAGUUUUUCCCCUAUGAAUCCAGAAUCUUCUGAUACAGUGUAAAAAGUUAGAGAGAAGGAUCAAGAGGAAGGAAAAGACAAACAGGGAGAGUAAGUCAGCCCAUGAGAAGAACUGCACUGACUGACAAAUGAAAGCAGUGAUGUUUGUUCCUCAGCGCGUCUGGAGCAGUCCCUUACCAGCAGCAAACCAAAUGCUUGGUGGUGAACACUUGGAUUUGUCUCUACCUCAUGAAGGUUUCUCAGCUACUGUCAUGGUCCGCUACUGCCACUCAAGUACUGCUCAGGAUGACAUGGGGCAAGAAAUAUGCCAUUAAAACAAAUCAGGACACACAGAUGUACAGUGGUAAAAGUCACACUGGAUGGUAAAACAUCCACUUGAACUAGACAGUAUACAGGAGACUCUGCAGUGUUUAAUGCACUGGAUGAAACUCUUGCAGCGGGAAAACAUCAAGCAACAGCACCAGAAACAAUUUACCUGUAAUUAACUGCAGUUUCCAGAAGUCUCAUUGUCCAGGUUUCAGCUGGGACAGUUAUUUUUCCUUCAGUUUCUGGUAUGAUGCUUUGGGAGAAAAAUGUUGAUAACAUGCUAAUGUUUCUGCUGUUGCUGAGCAGCAUUGCACAGAGACAAGGAUGUUUCAGCUUCUGGUACUGCCCUGUUAGGAAGGGACAGAACCAGGACACUGAUCUAAAUACUUUAGAAAACUAAGGGGGAUUGGCUGGGGGGCAGUCACUGGUUGGGCCUCAGUCAGUGGGUGGUAAGCAAUUGCGCUGUGCAUCACUUGCU